rnacentral:rRNA from 1 species
AUGCUGCAACCAACGGCCCCUACUACUACGACCAACGAGGUGGUCUCUGCCGUGAAGAUGGACGACGGCUGCGGCGAUUUUUGUGCUGGAACCCACGACUGCCUCUACAUCAACCGGCCAGCCAUUUUGCUGGAACCAGCAUCGAUCCUUUUGCCAGACACGUCAGUACAAACCGACCAUUGCGGCGAGCCGGAACCAGAGCAUGGCGAUGAGCUAGAACUGGCGAGCUUGCUUUGCUGCAACCAGCCGCAGGCUGCUAGGAUAAGCAGGGCCAGAAGCUGGAACAGGCGUCCAAAUUUGCUAGAACGGGAGAUCUGGAUUGUUGCAUCGUUCGCCACAUAG